rnacentral:rRNA from 1 species
GACGAACGCUGGCGGCGUGCCUAAUACAUGCAAGUAGAACGCUGAAGGAGGAGCUUGCUCUUCUGGAUGAGUUGCGAACGGGUGAGUAACGCGUAGGUAACCUGCCUGGUAGCGGGGGAUAACUAUUGGAAACGAUAGCUAAUACCGCAUAAGAGUAGAUGUUGCAUGACAUUUGCUUAAAAGGUGCAAUUGCAUCACUACCAGAUGGACCUGCGUUGUAUUAGCUAGUUGGUGGGGUAACGGCUCACCAAGGCGGCGAAGCAUAGUCGAACGGUGAGGGGGGUCGGCCACCCUGGGAGUGUGACAGGGCACAGAGUCCCUGGGGAGGGAGCAGUAGGGAUACGUGGGGAAGGGGCGGAAGUCUGAGCGAGCAAGGCGGAGGGAGGGAAGAAGGGUUUCGGAUCGUAAAGCACGGUUGUAGGGGAAGAAAGAGCGUGAGAGUGGAAAGUUCACAGUGUGACGGUAUCUUAUCAGAAAGCGACGGCUAACUACGUG